GAUGAACGCUGGCGGCGUGCCUAAUACAUGCAAGUCGAGCGAACAGACGAGGAGCUUGCUCCUCUGACGUUAGCGGCGGACGGGUGAGUAACACGUGGAUAACCUACCUAUAAGACUGGGAUAACUUCGGGAAACCGGAGCUAAUACCGGAUAACAUGUUGAACCGCAUGGUUCAACAGUGAAAGACGGUCUUGCUGUCACUUAUAGAUGGAUCCGCGCCGCAUUAGCUAGUUGGUAAGGUAACGGCUUACCAAGGCAACGAUGCGUAGCCGACCUGAGAGGGUGAUCGGCCACACUGGAACUGAGACACGGUCCAGACUCCUACGGGAGGCAGCAGUAGGGAAUCUUCCGCAAUGGGCGAAAUCCUGACGGAGCAACGCCGCGUGAGUGAAGAAGGUCUUCGGAUCGUAAAACUCUGUAAUUAGGGAAGAACAAAUGUGUAAGUAACUAUGCACGUCUUGACGGUACCUAAUCAGAAAGCCACGGCUAACUACGUG
rnacentral:rRNA from 1 species